UAGGACUACAGGGGUUUCUAAUCCUGUUUGCUCCCCACGCUUUCGAGCCUCAGCGUCAGUAAUGAGCCAGUAUGUCGCCUUCGCCACUGGUGUUCUUCCGAAUAUCUACGAAUUUCACCUCUACACUCGGAGUUCCACAUACCUCUCUCACACUCAAGACACCCAGUAUCAAAGGCAGUUCCAGAGUUGAGCUCUGGGAUUUCACCCCUGACUUAAAUGUCCGCCUACGCUCCCUUUACGCCCAGUAAUUCCGAACAACGCUAGCUCCCUCCGUAUUACCGCGGCUGCUGGCACCC
rnacentral:misc_RNA from 1 species